rnacentral:rRNA from 1 species
CCCUUAGAUGUUCUGGGCCGCACGCGCGCUACACUGAAUGGAUCAACGUGUUUUCCCUUCCCGAGAGGGACGGGUAACCCGCUGAACCCCAUUCGUGGUAGGGAUCGGAGCUUGCAAUUAUUCCCCAUGAACGAGGAAUUCCCAGUAAGCGCGAGUCAUCAUCUCGCGUUGAUUACGUCCCUGCCCUUUGUACACACCGCCCGUCGCUACUACCGAUUGAAUGGUUUAGUGAGAUCCUCGGAUUGGCCAUCUCGGCGUGACUUCGGUUGUGCACGUGGUGGCCGAGAAGACGAUCAAACUUGAUCAUUUAGAGGAAGUAAAAGUCGUAACA